rnacentral:pre_miRNA from 1 species
UCAGAGAGGCGAUAGUUGAGUUUGCAUGAAGGUGACUCAGCUCAUCAUCUCUCUAGGG